rnacentral:tRNA from 2 species
GCGGGUAUCGUAUAGUGGUAAUACGCAACCUUGCCAAGGUUGAGUCGCGGGUCCGAUUCCCGCUACCCGCUCAA